rnacentral:rRNA from 1 species
GGUUAAGUUAUGAAGGGCGCAUGGUGAAUGCCUUGGUACUAGGAGCCGAUGAAGGACGGGACUAACACCGAUAUGCUUCGGGGAGCGGUAAGUACGCUUUGAUCCGGAGAUUUCCGAAUGGGGAAACCCAACCAACUUAGUCGUUGGUUGCUUGACUAGUGAAUCUAUAGCUAGCAAGCGGUAGACGCAGUGAACUGAAACAUCUCAGUAGCUGCAGGAAGAGAAAGAAAAAUCGAUUCCCUCAGUAGCGGCGAGCGAACGGGGAAGAGCCCAAACCAACGAGCUUGCUCGUUGGGGUUGUAGGACUGAACAUUUGAGUUACCAAAGAGCGACGUAGUCGAAACAGUUGGGAAGCUGUGCCAGAGAUGGUGAAAGCCCAGUAGACGAAACGGCACUCUCUCAGUUCAGGAUCCUGAGUACGGCGGGACACGUGAAACCCCGUCGGAAGCAGCGAGGACCAUCUCGCAAGGCUAAAUACUCCCUAGUGACCGAUAGUGAACCAGUACCGUGAGGGAAAGGUGAAAAGCACCCCGGAAGGGGAGUGAAAUAGUUCCUGAAACCAUGUGCCUACAAGCUGUCGGAGCCCAUUAAUGGGUGACGGCGUGCCUCUUGCAGAAUGAACCGGCGAGUUACGAUUGCAUGCAAGGUUAAGGUGGAAAAACCGGAGCCGCAGCGAAAGCGAGUCUGAAAUGGGCGUAUGAAGUAUGUAGUUGUAGACCCGAAACCAGGUGACCUACCCAUGUCCAGGUUGAAGGUGCGGUAAAGCGCACUGGAGGACCGAACCCGUGUCAGUUGAAAAUGGCUGGGAUGAGGUGUGGGUAGCGGUGAAAUUCCAAACGAACUUGGAGAUAGCUGGUUCUCUCCGAAAUCUCUUUAGGGGGAGCCUUGGGAAUUAGAAUCGUGGAGGUAGAGCUACUGUUUGAACAAGGGGCCCGUCAUGGGUUACCAACUUCAGAUAAACUCCGAAUGCCAUUGAUUUAUGCCCAGGAGUCACACGAUGAGUGAUAAGAUCCACCGUGUAAAGGGGAACAGCCCAGAUCACCAGUUAAGGUCCCUAAAUAUAUGCUAAGUGGAAAAGGAUGUGGAGUUGCAUAGACAACUAGGAUGUUGGCUCAGAAGCAGCCACCAUUUAAAGAGUGCGUAAUAGCUCACUAGUCGAGUGAUUCUGCGCCGAAAAUGUACCGGGGCUAAGCAUAUUACCGAAACUGUGGAUGUGCACUACGUGCACGUGAUAGGAGAGCGUUCUAAGGGCGGUGAAGCUAGACCGUGAGGACUGGUGGAGCGCUUAGAAGUGAGAAUGCCGGUAUGAGUAGCGAAAGACAGGUGAGAAUCCUGUCCACCGAAUGACUAAGGUUUCCUGGGGAAGGCUCGUCCUCCCAGGGUAAGUCGGGACCUAAGCCGAGGCCGAGAGGCGUAGGCGAUGGAUAACAGGUUGAGAUUCCUGUACCAGUUAACUGCGUUUGACGAUGGAGGGACGCAGGAGGCUAAGCAAACCUCACGAUUGGAAGAGUGGGGCCAAGCAGUAAGUCAGGAUGUGAGUUAAAUGCUUACAUCCGAGUUGACAAGCUGUGAUGGGGAGCGAAAUUACAGUAGCGAAGUUGCCGAUGUCACACUGCCGAGAAAAGCUUCUAAGGAGCACGUUAACUGCCCGUACCGCAAACCGACACAGGUAGUCGAGGAGAGAAUCCUAAGGUGAGCGAGUGAACUCUCGUUAAGGAACUCGGCAAAAUGACCCCGUAACUUCGGGAGAAGGGGUGCUGGUCGCAAGACCAGCCGCAGUGAAUAGGCCCAGGCGACUGUUUAUCAAAAACACAGGUUUCUGCAAAAUCGUAAGAUGAAGUAUAGGGGCUGACGCCUGCCCGGUGCUGGAAGGUUAAAAGGAAGGGUUAGCUUCGGCGAAGCUCUGAAUU